rnacentral:lncRNA from 1 species
UUGGAUCUCUCUUCUACGAGUUUUUCCGGAGAACUACCUCAUUCAAUUGGCUAUCUCAAGUCUUUGAAUAUCUUGAGACUCUCAUAUACGAGUUUCUCUGGAGAACUACCUCAUUCAAUUGGUUAUCUCAAGUCUUUGAAUUCAUUGGAUCUCUCUUAUACGAGUUUAUCCGGAGAACUACCUCAUUCAAUUGGCUAUCUCAAGUCUUUGAAUUUCAUAGAUCUCUCUUAUACGAGUUUCUUUGGGGAACUACCUCAUUCAAUUGGCUAUCUCAAGUCUUUGAAUUACUUGGAUCUCUCUUUUACGAGUUU